rnacentral:rRNA from 1 species
GGUUCAGGAUGAACGCUGGCGGCGUGCUUAAUACAUGCAAGUCGAACGGAGAUUGUAGCAAUACGAUUUAGUGGCGAACGGGUGAGUAACGCGUGGGUGACCUGCCCCGAAGUGCGGGAUAACAGUUCGAAAGGACUGCUAAUACCGGAUGUGGUCAUGAGGAUUAGAAGCUUGAUGACUAAAGGCGAAAGCCGCUUUGGGAGGGGCCUGCGUCCCAUCAGCUAGUUGGUAAGGUAAAGGCUUACCAAGGCGACGACGGGUAGGGGACCUGAGAGGGUGAUCCCCCACACUGGCACUGAAACACGGGCCAGACACCUACGGGUGGCAGCAGUAGGGAAUAUUGCACAAUGGGCGAAAGCCUGAAUGCAGCAACGCCGCGUGCGCGAUGAAGGCCUUCGGGUCGUAAAGCGCUUUUCGGGGAGACGAGGAAGGACGGUAUCCCCGGAAUAAGGCUCGGCUAACUACGUGCCAGCAGCAGC